CCUACGGGAGGCAGCAGUCGAGAAUCAUUCACAAUGGGGGAAACCCUGAUGGUGCGACGCCGCGUGGGGGAAUGAAGUUCUUCGGAUUGUAAACCCCUGUCAUGUGGGAGCAAAUUAAAAAGAUAGUACCACAAGAGGAAGAGACGGCUAACUCUGUGCCAGCAGCCGCGGUAAUACAGAGGUCUCAAGCGUUGUUCGGAAUCACUGGGCGUAAAGCGUGCGUAGGCUGUUGCGUAAGUCGUGUGUGAAAGGCGCGGGCUCAACCCGCGGACGGCACAUGAUACUGCGAGACUAGAGUAAGGGAGGGGGAACCGGAAUUCUCGGUGUAGCAGUGAAAUGCGUAGAUAUCGAGAGGAACACUCGUGGCGAAGGCGGGUUCCUGGACAUUAACUGACGCUGAGGCACGAAGGCCAGGGGAGCGAAAGGGAUUAGAUACCCUAGUAGUC
rnacentral:rRNA from 1 species